GAUGAACGCUGGCGGCGUGCCUAAUACAUGCAAGUCGAACGAAACUUCUUUAUCACCGAGUGCUUGCACUCACCGAUAAAGAGUUGAGUGGCGAACGGGUGAGUAACACGUGGGCAACCUGCCCAAAAGAGGGGGAUAACACUUGGAAACAGGUGCUAAUACCGCAUAACCAUAGUUACCGCACGGUAACUAUGUAAAAGGUGGCUAUACUACCGCUUUUGGAUGGGCCCGCGGCGCAUUAGCUAGUUGGUAGGGUAAAGGCUUACCAAGGCAAUGAUGCGUAGCCGAAUUGAGAGGUUGAUCGGCCACAUUGGGACUGAGACACGGCCCAAACUCCUACGGGAGGCAGCAGUAGGGAAUCUUCGACAAUGGGCGAAAGCCUGAUGGAGCAACGCCGCGUGGGUGAAGAAGGUCUUCGGAUCGUAAAACCCUGUUGUUAGAGAAGAAAGUGCGUGAGAGUAACUGUUCACGUUUCGACGGUAUCUAACCAGAAAGCCACGGCUAACUACGUG
rnacentral:rRNA from 1 species